AUUGAACGCUGGCGGAAUGCUUUACACAUGCAAGUCGAACGGCAGCACGGACUUCGAUCUGGUGGCGAGUGGCGAACGGGUGAGUAAUGUAUCGGAACGUGCCCAGUCGUGGGGGAUAACGUAGUGAAAAUUACGCUAAUACCGCCUACGAUCUAUGGAUGAAAGCGGGGGAUCGCAAGACCUCGCGCGAUUGGAGCGGCCGAUAUCAGAUUAGGUAGUUGGUGGGGUAAAGGCCCACCAAGCCAACGAUCUGUAGCUGGUCUGAGAGGACGACCAGCCACACUGGAACUGAGACACGGUCCAGACUCCUACGGGAGGCAGCAGUGGGGAAUUUUGGACAAUGGGCGAAAGCCUGAUCCAGCCAUUCCGCGUGCAGGAUGAAGGCCCUCGGGUUGUAAACUGCUUUUGUACAGAACGAAGAGGUUUCUACUAAUACUAGGAGCUCAUGACGGUACUGUAAGAAUAAGCACCGGCUAACUACGUGCCAGCCGCCGCUGUAA
rnacentral:rRNA from 1 species